UUUGUUGCACCAGAAGUAGCUAGCCUAACWGCAAWGAGGGCGGUUACCACGGUGUGGCCGAUGACUGGGGUGAAGUCGUAACAAGGUAGCCGUAGGUGAACCUGCAGAAGGAUCA
rnacentral:rRNA from 1 species